UACGGAAGGGGCUAGCGUUGUUCGGAUUACUGGGCGUAAAGCGCACGUAGGCGGAUCGUUAAGUCGGGGGUGAAAUCCUGGAGCUCAACUCCAGAACUGCCUUCGAUACUGGCGAUCUUGAGUCCGGAAGAGGUGAGUGGAACUCCUAGUGUAGAGGUGGAAUUCGUAGAUAUUAGGAAGAACACCAGUGGCGAAGGCGGCUCACUGGUCCGGUACUGACGCUGAGGUGCGAAAGCGUGGGGAGCAAACAGG
rnacentral:rRNA from 1 species